rnacentral:sRNA from 1 species
UAUAGAGAUAAGAGAGGGGAGUCUCUGAGGGAUAUAGUAACUUGCCAAGGCUACACAGCUGGCUGCUGACUUGAGUAAACCAAUAGAUAAAAGGAUAUACAAAGGAACACAGCCUACUUGUCAUGACUUCAACCACCUAACAGCCACAGCAGAAAGUGUCUCUCUCCUAGUGGGCUUUUCCGCAGGCCAAGUCCAGCUUAUAGACCCAAUCAAAAAAGAAACUAGCAAACUUUUUAAUGAGGAAAGACUAAUAGACAAGUCACGAGUUACCUGUGUCAAAUGGGUUCCCGGUUCGGAAAGCCUUUUCCUAGUAGCCCACUCGAGUGGGAACAUGUACUUGUAUAAUGUGGAGCACACUUGUGGCACCACAGCCCCCCACUACCAGCUUCUGAAGCAGGGAGAGAGCUUUGCCGUGCACACUUGCAAGAGCAAAUCCACGAGGAACCCUCUCCUUAAGUGGACGGUGGGCGAGGGGGCCCUCAACGAGUUUGCUUUCUCCCCAGAUGGCAAGUUCUUAGCGUGCGUGAGCCAGGACGGGUUUCUGCGGGUGUUCAACUUUGACUCAGUGGAGCUGCACGGUA